GACGAACGCUGGCGGCGUGCCUAAUACAUGCAAGUCGAGCGGACUGAUUAAGAGCUUGCUCUUAUGACGUUAGCGGCGGACGGGUGAGUAACACGUGGGCAACCUGCCCUGUAGAUCGGGAUAACACCGAGAAAUCGGUGCUAAUACCGGGUAAUAUCUGAGAUCACAUGAUCUUAGGUUAAAAGAUGGCUCCGGCUAUCACUACAGGAUGGGCCCGCGGCGCAUUAGCUAGUUGGUAAGGUAAUGGCUUACCAAGGCGACGAUGCGUAGCCGACCUGAGAGGGUGAUCGGCCACACUGGGACUGAGACACGGCCCAGACUCCUACGGGAGGCAGCAGUAGGGAAUCUUCCGCAAUGGACGAAAGUCUGACGGAGCAACGCCGCGUGAGUGAUGAAGGGUUUCGGCUCGUAAAGCUCUGUUGUUAGGGAAGAAACUGUACCGAACGAACUAGGUCGGUACCUUGACGGUACCUAACCAGAAAGCCACGGCUAACUACGUG
rnacentral:rRNA from 1 species